rnacentral:lncRNA from 1 species
UCAUCAACCUGUAGAGGUUAAGGAAAUUUCCUUUUCAAUAUUACAACAAACCAGGCAGAAACAUACAGAAAGAGGCAGAGCCGCCCACCCACUUUGAUAGCUACGCCCUCUCAAGUCUCCAAUACUACUAACAAACAAAAGUCAACAAUCGUUUCCCAUAAAUACACAAUGCCAUCUGCCCAUCACCAACGUACAAUCCGAUGCCAAAUAUACCUAUCUAGUGGCUGAUCUUGUAAACAUAUCUCAGAAGGUACAAUCCAUAUAUAUAUGUACAUUCGUGGAUGUGACUUAUAGGACAAAAAAUUCCAAAAGAGUGACUCACGACUUACCAUUGUGAAAAUUUGAUAUCAUGUAUGUAAUUAUGUAGCUAUCAAAGUGAUGACCCCAGCCCCCGG